rnacentral:lncRNA from 13 species
GUGGGGACAGACUUGGAAGGGGCUGGCAGAUUCUCCGCCUGCCUUGUGAGGGGGUGCAGAGGCUGCAUCUGAGCCCAGGGCUGCAAGACCCCAGGGUCCACCCUCAGCCAUCCCUGGGGAAGGCAGCCUGGGCUGAGGUUGAGGUGCUGUGGGGGAUUAGGGAGCCCAGAGUGACUGCCCCUCCUUGCUGUGUCAUCCCUGGGGCUCACGGUCUACGCUGGUCUCCUGGGGAUGAUAAUGGUGAUAAGAAUAUUGGUGAUGAGGAUGGGGGUGGGCAAGGAUCUUGGAGCCCCGAUUGCAUGCACUGUCUCCUGGCCUCACAAGAUGGCCAGCAAGGUGCUUGCCUCAGUGCCGCAUCUGAGGAGUGGGUUUGACAAUCACCCCCUGACUCUACUAUGGGAGGCUGCAGCACAAGGCUGUCAUGAAACCUCUAGGAGUAAGGACAGGCUAUACCUUGGGCUGUCCCAGGAGGCCAGGAGCCCUCAUCCCUCACUCCCCCUCCCUUAUCCUCUUCCCCUCCCCAUCCUUGGUCCAGGGCCACACAGUACUAUCCCACUGCUCACCUGGGGUUUCCUGUCCUUGUGUGAGGUCAGCCCCAGGCUGCCUGCAUCUAAGGACCUUGCACAGAGCUGGUGUGAUGGUGUUAAUGAUGAUAGUGAUGGUGAUGAGGACAAUGAUGGUGAUGAGGAUGAGGAUGGCGAUGAUGGCGACAAGGAUGAGGAUGGUGAUGGUGAUGGUGACGAGGAUGGUGAUGGUGAUAGUGAUGAUGACAGUGAUGGUGAUGAGGAUGGUGAUGGUGAUGACAGUGAUGAGGAUGAUGAUGGUGACAAGGAUGGGGAUGGUGAUGAUAGUGAUGGUGAUGAGGAUAAGGGUGAUGGUGAUGAGGAUGGUGAUGGUGAUGAUAGUGAUGAGGAUGAUGAUGGUGACAAGGAUGAGGAGGGUGAUGAUGGUGAUGAGGACGAUGAUGGUGAGGAGGGUGAUGAUGGUGAUGAUGACAGUGAUGGUGACGGGGAUGGUGAUGGUGAUGAUGGUGACAAGGAUGGGGAUGGUGAUGAUGGUGAUGGUGAUGAGGAUGGUGAUGGUGAUGAUGGUGACAAGGAUGGGGAUGGUGAUGAUAGUGAUGAUGAUAGUGAUGGUGAUGAGGAUGGUGAUGAGGAUAAGGAUGGUGGUGAUGAGGAUGGUGAUGGUGAUGAUAGUGAU